rnacentral:lncRNA from 1 species
UCCUCCCUACUCGCCGGCCACUAGGAAGCUAUCUCCCUCUCGGUAUCUCCCAUGGCCGCUAAUAGCCCUAGCUAAGCUCGCCCUGGCCCCUGCAAUUUUUUUAUUUCCUGCAACUUGCCCUUGCCCUAGGUUCGACGAGCGCCGCUGCUCAGUUCACCUCUGUUUGAUGCCGAACUGGGCUGCCUGUCCUCAACCUCGCCGAUGUCGUUUCCCUGGUGCUUGCUCUCGCCCGAAGCCAUAGAGCAGCAGCAGCCACGACACUCUUUCGUCUCACGCCCUCGACGUGUUCGAUAAAAUGUCGCAGCGAUCUCCACCUCGAUCCGUGCCGCCCCAGUUGUGACCUCGUCGAAUCCCGGUGAGGACUCGUUGUUUUCCUUGUGUUUAUUCCUCUCUGGUACAUGUAUUCGACGCCAAUUAAUUAAAUGCUAAUCAUGUGCAUAUGUGUAUGCUUAUGCGUGGGAGGUGAGGAGAAAUUUUCCGGUCUUGGAGGGCAAAGAGAUCAAAGGUCUAAAGCAAACGCCCGCCGGGCUCGGUGAAAUCGCCUCAACCGGCGGUUAUUGUCGAUCUCUCGGAUUUGAGGUGAUUUAGUUGAGGUGAGCUGUUUCGCUACUUAUAUUGUUUAAUUUAAUGUUCGGCUUCAAUGGAGAUUGUAGUCACGAUGAUGUUAUCGUCUUUAGUGCGGCCGGGUUGUGGUGGAAUGCUCGGCAGAUCCGUUGUUAGGCAUAUGUGUUUUGUUCCGUGAUAAUGUGAGGAAAGUAUCUUUCCUCUCUUUUCCUUGUCCUUGUGAUGCUAUGUUGUAUGUCAUAUAUUUGGUGAAUGAAUAUAUCAAGAGAGAGUAAAUUCUUUAGACAUAUGCAUAGUAUGAUUAAAGUGAGUUCUUCUUUGUGAUGAUAAAUUGUAUAGAAUGUGCUUGGAUGAAUAUAUGUGCAGGCAUAGUGUGCUUAAAUUGAUUCUUUGUUCGCAUGAUAUGAGAUUAGGCUUAAAAUACUAGGUUAUGUGAAGUAAAUGAAUUCAUGGUUAUAAAGAAGAAAGCUAUGUAUGUGAUUAGAAAGUGUAGAAACUAGGAGCUAAAUUGAGUUCUUGCUGUUUGGACUGCAUGUCCAAUUUUAUUACGCGGCUAGCUAAGUAAAGUAAACCCUGUUUUCUGUAAAAAUAUUAUAUAGAAAAGUUGUAGAUAACCUCUUUAUCUCACUUGUGUAAAAAUUUCAUGACCCUAGGCCUAGCAGUUUAGGAGUUAUGAUUUUUCCAAGUCCAGUUUCAGAAUCUGUCCAAAUUCUGUACAUGUUUCGAAACUGAUUGUUUUAUUAAGUAAAACUGAGAAACAGCUCUUAGUAAUUAUAAUGAAGUUGUAGUACUUUUCGUAGGCUUUCCAAAAAGUCUUGGAUUCCCCCUUUUGGUGGUCUAGAAGUCAAGUUAUGGUUGUUUGAAAUGUGAUGUUUGAAUCUGUCAAAGUCUGGACAGCAAUGUUUGUUUGUAUUAACUGAUUUCGAUACACAUUGAAUCACCUUGAGAUGAUUAUAAAUGAGUUGUAGACAAUUGUAUUAGCUUCCUAAAAAGUGUAGGAUCACCUGAUUUGGAUAACUGAAACUCCAGUUAUGGAUUUUUGAAGUGAAUAGUCGAAAUCUGCCCUUAUCUGGACAGCGCUAUCGUUUUAAUACUGUUUGGCCUUCCUAAGAAUUGAAUCACUUUGAGACGAUAAUAUUGAAGUUGUAGAGCACUUCCUAAGCUUUUUAGAAAGUUCUUGUUAACCCCUUUUGGAUGAAUAUUUUUUAAGUUAUGAGCAAAACCGUUGACUGUUGUGCUGCUGUCCAGAAAUUCUGCAAGUGUUGAGAUGAUUGUUUAGAGUCAUUCUUGUUUGUUAUUGUAAGAUUAGUUAGUUUUUUAUUCUUAAUUGGUGAAGUGAUGCCUUGUUUUAGUAAUUUUCAUGUUCUAUGUUUGUUGAUUGUGUUGGGUACAUUUGUUUAGUGAAGUCGAAGCCUUGCCUUAGUAAUCGUUACGAUUAUAUUAUAUUGAUGGUUAGAAUGCCCUAGAUGAAUAUAGGUUAUUGCCAUGUGAAUAUGGUGAAGUUAGUAUUGCGAGGAAGGUUUAGUAAACAAGCAUACCUAGUAUUAUUAAGUUCUUAGUGUUGGACUCUAACUAAGGCAAGUAGAGUUAUGCAUGGUUAUUAUUUUUAAUGUUUGUGUUAGUCAGAGUUUUAAAUGUUAUGCUCUAGUCAAAAGAGAUAAAAUGCUUAUGAAUGGUUCGCUACGUCCUGCUGUUAGAAUUGGAUCCGGUUAAGUUAGAAUGCCAUAGCUAUAGUACUUAAUGUGAUAUCGACACCUAGUAUUUUCGUAUUAGAGUUGUGAUGCCUUGCUAUAAGUGUUUGAUAUUCUUCAAAAAGCUUUAUCUAUAUUGUGCUAUUUAUACUUGCACUCAUACAUGUGCAUUAUGCAUAUCAUUUAGGUACGGUAAUUGAUCACAUGAUGUGGAAGACAAGGUUUGGAUUGAUAUCAAGAUGAUGCUGAUGGACGAAGCUAAAGUGGGUGAAUCAAACAAGUGUCAGGAUGAGAGAUGCUUACCAAGUGGUCGUCAUCUGCCAACACAAACUUAGUCUUAUCCCAGGCAAGCCCCGGUGCAUGCAACCCCUUCCUUAUGCUUUUAAAUGAUUUUUACACACUUCAAGUCUAGCGAACUGUGCAUUAGGUUUAUAGGAGCUGCUUGGAAACCCUUUGAUGCAUUGGCUACCUUGAAAUCCAUUCCUUUUAUAGAUACUUCUGGUGAAGUAUCAAAUAUGAUUUACAAAAUUGCUUAGCCCUGCCUAGAGGUAAAUCUUGCAGAUAGAGUUUGUCCUUUGCACUAAUGCCUAGCUCAAGUUUAUCCUGAGGAACGAUGGCUCUACCUACAAAAAUAUUUUCACCAGGAUCAUUGGGAGAUCUAAUGCAAGGUUCCCUAUGAUGUUUUAAUCAUCCUAAGAAACACAAACGAUCCUAAGGAUGGAAGUACUUAAAUCGAGACUUGGGCUAGGAACAGGUGAUGUUCUACCUAGGUUGAUUAAGGAUUAUAGCGAAUGUAGGCUUGAUGAUCUAGGACCUUUUAACUGGCCACAUGCCUCGUCAUGAGUAAGCUUUGCCUCGGUCGGACCAAUACCAGAAAGGCCACCAUGCAAUGGGAGUGGAGAGAUGGCGAGAGUAGUGUGUACCCUCCGCGGCAAGAGGCUGACUAGUGGAGUAUCUGUGCUCUCGGUUGGCGUGAACCCAUUCUAGUCUUGAGAAACCCAGUGGCGAGUUGACAUAUGCAAGGGUUAAGUGCUACAUAUGUAGACUUGGUCACUGCCCUACAAUCUAAGUCAUGGAUGGAAUCAUAAUGAGCAAAAAUCAUGUUGUAUUGAUUAAUGUGAUGAUGAAAUUAGACUAGAUGCAAACAAGGUCUAUUAAUACUUAAUCUAGCAUUAAAAUGUUGAAAGUAAGGACUCAUUUUAGUAAAGCUUUCUUCAAACUAUUAAAGUUGAUUCUUGCUAAAAGCCUUUCCUUGAUUCCCAAAUCCAGCAUAUCCCUGAGAGUCUUUUUCCUUAGUCGGGUAAGACAUGCGAAAGUACACUCCGUACUCAGGGUUUUUGAACCCAUGUUGUUGUAGGUACUAGCUUUGUGCUGCUGUGGAUGGUGUUAAGCGCCGGUGGGCACGGCCUUCUUAUAGGUUAAAGUAGCUCUUCUAUGCUUCUUAUUGAGGAUUGUCAUUGAGCUAGCAUAUAUUUCAAACUUAUAAAUAAUUUAUAACAUUUCAAAGUUUAUUUCUUUGAAUCACUUUUGGAACCACUCCGAUAAAUAUAAUGUAAAUUUGUUGUAACCUAUAACUUUUUGUAAUAAAGAAAUUCCGCUGCAAAAUGUUGGUGUGUGAUUUGUGUUUACUUAAUCUUGCGAUCUUGGUUGUAAGUGGUUUAUCCGGGUCCUUGGGACACUCGGACGGAUCCUGUUAAGUUAUCCGGUGCACAUGCAUAGCCGUCUGAGGUCUUUGAAACAAGGACAGGUGCAUGUGGGCCCAAUAACUUGGGAGGUUCUGCCACAAUAUGCAGACAACGACCCAACAACCAUAGUUGACUCGGAGACGACGACCUAGACCACUCGUGAACUCAUCAUAGCAUCCUUCAUGUGCCUCAUCUUGUGGUACCUAUUCUUGACUUAGGGGGGAUGUGAGUACAUCAAGGGUGAGCUCACAUACGUUCAUCGCUCGACAAGUUGUGGGUAAUAAUGUGCAUGAACUCACUAAAGGUGGGAGCUCAUGUGAAGUGUAAGGCUUACCAAAUGAGAUGGUUAAAGCUAAGCAUUGCAGAGGUGAAAGCAAUGAACACGAGAGGCCCAAGCUCGCCGGAGAUAGUGUCACGAAGAUGUCAGUCCACGCGCUGCGCCACCCCGCCAUGCAGCGUGAGCUACGGCGAGAAAUCGCCCACACACCGAACGAUCGUGUGCCCAGCUAAUGAUACCGAAGGUCUCCACAUAGCCUGGCAACCCGACCAUGAUGCACACCAAGACCCAAAACGAUGGAGAAGUGUUCCUGCAUGUAGAGGUCGACCGCGGUGGCCCUUUCACUCGGCGAUGAGCCCUCGCUCUCUCUCCCUGGUGUCCAGCUUGCGACGGCGCGAUGCCAUGUUUUAUGGGGGAAGGGGUGAGUCCGCGCCAAGGAAGUCGGUAGCAGGUCGGCGCAGAAUCUCCAGGGAUUCGGUGGAGGUGGUUGCAAUCGGGCGUUGAUACGGUGUUGUGCAGAGCUCGGAAGAGAUAAGGAAGAAGGGAUACAUGCUGACAUGCCAGUCCCACACCUCAGACACCAUCGUCAGAUACCGCGCGCAGGGGAACGACCUGCCAUGAGGACCCCACAUGACAGCGAUUGAGACAGCGGGGAUGGGGAGUAGUGGAUGAUGAUGCGGGCCCACCAGCCAUUGGCUUGGAGCAAGUGCAGUCGAGAGGCUGAGCAGUGGGGCCCCAUGUCAGCGAGAACCAGUGCUAUCGCACGCACACGGGAGACAGAUAGGCCGAGCCCGCCAGUCGGCGCCUCGAUUCAUCAUGGGCUGCGCAAAUGGUAGAGCGGAAUGGGCCGGCGGGAAAGAAGUGGUGGACGGGCCGAAAAUGAGGUUUCCAGCCGAGCAGGGUUUUAUUCUCUUUUUCUUUUCCUUUUUGUUUUGUAUUUCCUUCUCAAAUUCCAUUUUCAAGGAUUCAAACCAAGUUUAAACCCUUGUUUCGAACUUCAGACUUAAAAUACAUAAUUAAGUCUCAAUAUGAGUAUAACUCUUACUGUUUGCCUUAACAUCAUUUAUAUUAGUUCCUAUGUUUUACUCAUGGAAAGGAUCAUUAAAAAUAACUUCUUUCUAGAUUUUUUUUAAUUUCCCAAUUCCACUCUCAAUAAGUUCGAACUUCAAAAUUAAUUCAUGUAAAUAAGUGCACAAAUAAACUCCAUCAUGAUGCAUUUGUUUUUUUUGUUUAGAUAUAUAUUUGUUUUAAUAUGCAUUUUUGAAGAGCAAUAUGCCUCAAGGUAAAAUUUCGAUUCAAAUAGACUUUUACUAAUUAAUAAAGAACUUGCUAAAAUUCCCUAAGGCAUUAUUCAGGGUUUACACAGGGCAUCAGAUCUACGAUCGAUGGUUGAAACCAAAGCCUUGAAGCGGUUUGGCCCCGUUCUAAUCUGAGUCGCGCAUCCCGCGAUCGACGUCUCACAACCACACACACCCGGGGCAUCAGAUCGACGGUUGAAACCAAAGCCUCGAACCGGUAUGGUCCCGUUCUAAUCUGAGUCGUCCAUCCCCAGAUCAAUAGUCAGGGCUUAUCUUUCUCCUCUCGACUACCAAAUGUGGAGACACCCAGGACCAGGGUGAUGGCGCCAUGGCCGAGCUCACCCACCCCUUGCGCUAGGGUUGUAAACUUUGAUCCUAACGGCGCUACACGAUGCGGGGAUGAUGGUGAUCGAAUGGACAGGUGACUCACCAACGGUGAUGAUGGGAAGUCAUGCACGUCGGGGUUUAAUUGGAGCCGCGGCGAUGACUUGUCUCCGGCUAGCAAUUCCAAGAGCUCUGCUCACCAAUUGCGCCCGAAGAGGACAUGAUAACCCUCCUUGGGUCUCGAUGAAGUUCCUAGAACCGACUUGGGGGCCUCGACGAUGCUCUACGCGCGUGUCGACGUUGCGAUACGACUCCUCGAUGGAGGGGGAGCGCUGGCGAGCCAUAUCCUGAUGCUCCGUCGCUCAACAGUCCUCAGCUCCACACUGGAAACACAUGGCACCCACCAAUCAAUCAUCUAGGAAUACAACCGAGGCUCGACUGAUGACGAGAACAAGGAUUGGUCGCAGUGGCCUCCCAUCUCUCUCACUUCUUCUCUAUUGUCCUCUCUCGUUGGUAGAGCGAUGUCGUUGAUGCAUGCGCAGGUGGUGGCGCCUGGCUCACUUCUUUAUAGCCCUGCGAAGGUCGGUUCUGGGUUGCAAGCAAUGGACUCUGGGUUCAUGGAGAUAGUGACGGCGUGACGGGUUUGUUACAGGAGAAGAUCAUGAUGAGGAUGACCCUGCGCCUAACAAGGCGGGCCCACCGUCAGCGAGCGCGUAGUGAAUGCAGUGCGUGGCUGAUGGGCUGUUCUACAGGGCCCUGUUGUUAGUGGAUGAGGGGGGGAAGAAACACGCUCGUGUUCUGGGAAUGGUGCCGACAUGCGGGUCCCACAAGUCAGGGCCAAAAUGCGCAAUUGGGCUGGCGCAAGUGAAACCAAGUGGGCCAGUAAGGGGGUUUUGGCCCGGCACAUGUUUUCUCCUUUCUCUUUUUUUAUUCUAUUUUGGAUUUCAAUUCAAGUUCAAUUUUAAGUCUUUAAAUCCAUCUUAGUUUGAAUUGCUCAACUACUAUAAUGAUCUUAAAACUUUUAGAGGACAUUCAUAAAGAUAUUACUCAACUACUAUAAUGAUCUUCUCAUUUGUUUCAUAUCUUUUUAGUUCAAAUUCAAUACCUAGUUUUAGAAGUUCCGCCUAAGUUUUAGUUUUGGCUGCAAACUGGGGGGUAGACUGCUUCGUUGAGCAUUCUAUGUGUAUCUAAAAGUUUUAGGUUGACUACAUCCACUAAUGAUGGUUGUAUGGUGUUAGUAUUUGUGUAGGCAAGGCAGAGUCAUCUGCUGAGCUGACACGAUGUAUGGAGGUAGAAGUUUGUUUCCCCAUUUUUACUUCUAUUUUGUCAGUUGUUAAUUGUCUUUUUUGUAGAUAUAGUUCUACAUGUCAUCAGUAAUGAUGCUUCUUUAGGUCUCCUGGGCCGCUUGUAUUAUACUUAGAGGGUGUUUGGUUUCUAGGGACUGUUUUUUGUUCUUCCAUUUUAUUCUAUUUUAGUCCUUAAAUUAUCAAAUACGGAAACUAAAAUAGAGUUUUAGUUUCAUAUUUACCAAUUUAUGGACUAAAAUAGAAUAAAAUGGAGGGACUAAAAAUUAGACCCUAGAAACCAAACGCCCCCUUACAUACUAUUUUUUGUUCUUAAGGAUCUGGAAUUCUUAUAAUAAGUGGAUGCUCUAUACAUAUUCUUUAUUGAAUGACACAAGACCAUGUUGAGGGAUACCAUGAACUCUCAGCUAGACAGAAAUAUUCGCCUCUAUUGUUGUUUGGCUUCUGGGACACCGACUUCUACGUCAAGGUAGAUGAUGAUGUGCAUGUAAACUUAGGUGUUUGGCUCUUCCUUGGAUGCAAGUACUUCCUCUUAGAAUUAUUUUGACUCAGUUUUGUUUACUGCUGCAUGCAUAUGACCAAAUAGGAAUGCUUGCCACUACCCUUGCUCGGCAUAAAUCGAAGCGAAGAACUUAUAUUGCCUACAUGAAGUCUUUAAGACCCUGAUUGAUGAUGUGCCACAUUGACCUCGAUAGGGCGCCCAUAAGCGCGUCCCAUGUUCUAGUUGUUGAUUGAAUUUUGGAUACAUCUGUGUUUGCUUUAGUAUUAAUGUAUAUGAGACAUCUAUAUUUAUCUGUUCUCGAUUGGUCUUUGGUGAAAAUAAACAGAAUGACAUAGUAGAACUAUAUAUAAGGUUUGCUCUUUUUGUCAAGAGAUUCGUAGUCCUUACUUUUGUCCUUGGCAAGAUGUAACCACAUCUUUCUGUAGUAUUGAAAGAAGGAACACUUGUUGUGACAAAUAGCAUUUUAUUUCAGCAAUUUACCACUAGCUGACAAUAAAAGGUCUAACCAUGAGAAGGAUGGACUUCCUAUUGAUGUCAAGCUUCAUGUUAAGAAUGUAUUAUCUAGAGAACUACACAUACUUCUAUUAUGGAUGGUUAAUUUUAAUGUCCUCUGGUGUCUGGAUGAAGAAAUAGGUGAAACUGAACGUCAUGUGUUGUUUUUCUCCCUAAAUAGUAGUUUAUGAUGCUUCAGCAAUUGUGACAUGACUUUUUUAAUGGUGCGCAAUCUACAUCAAUGCUGCUUCACCAAUCCAAUAAUUCUAGCAUGCUUGAAUAUGAUUUGUUUACUUGGUAUGAAGUUGGUAUUACACUAUUAUUGUUCCUGUAUUGAGCUAUAAAGUACCAUAAAGAAAAUUCUCAUUUUUACCAAAAAGUAAUUUGAAAAAAAAUCCAAGAUCCUUUUGUGGGAUCAAAUCACUUAUUUUUAGUCCAAUAAAUGUUUAUCAUUUAUUUUAAGUUUUCCUUUACUAAUACAUAACAUAUAAUUUAUUGGUAUGUUGGGGUCAAUGAGCUCCUUAGCUGUGAUAAGAAUGUGCCAUCUUCACAAUGCACCUUAGCAUUGUGCCACAUAAAAGUAAAAAGUAGCUUUUUAUGCAACACCUUGUUUUACUAAAAAAAUGUGUGUAGGUCAUUGAGCACUUGAUUUAUGAUCAUAGAGCAGAUGUUUUCAGUUUCGAGAUAGUUCUUUGAGAGUUGCUGACUGGAAAGGUUAUUUUUCUCUCGCCAUCAAUUUGUUUCGCCAGUGCGAUGGUAGAGCAGAAGUGUGGUUUUGCUAAUUGUUGAGUUGACCUUUUCUUUCCAGCUACAUAUGAAGACAUGACACCUCUUCAGGCAGUAGUUGUCGUUGUUCAAAAGGUAUCAUUGUUUAACACACAAGUUAUUACAAUUUGUCACAAAAAACAGUACCGCAUCUUGUUGUUAUCAUACUAUUUUAAUUUGCUGAAAGGAAAAGGUUCCAAAUAGAAGGCGAAUGUUGAGUUGUAACUCAUCUGUAUCUUUUUAGGUACUUGGUGGGGGAGUAAAAUACUCAAAGUGAUAUGGAUUUUCUGUUUUGAAUCCUAAUUUGGCAGACAUGAUAUCUCUGCAUGCAGGAUCUGAGGCUUACUAUUGCCACUGGUACCCAUCCUAUGCUCUAAGACAAAUCUUUGUAGAGAUUGUGGAUACACCGAACUUCAUAAAAGAGGUGUGUAUUCACACAAAGAACUAAUUGCAUUUACCAUCUAUUUGGUUUCAUCUUAUUCUAUAUUUUUCACAGGUUUUAUUUGCUAAGUGGUUCGGAGUUAUGUGCAUCACAAGAGGCAUCUAGGUCGAUCUUACUCUUCUUCGUGUUCAUUCUCGCUGCCUAGGACGGCACUGUAGCGCCGGUGGAGUUGGACGGUAUCGUUAGUCUCGAUUAGAUCUAGACGGAAUGGACCCCGUUCUUGCUAAAGGAGAGAGAGAGCGUGCUUGGCUUGGCCUGGGGGGCUAUAUUUUAGUUCAUUUUUUAAGGGUCAUGUUACUUGUCAUGUCAGAUCAGAUUAUGCAGCUCCAGAUAUUCAUGUAUUUGUGAGAAAAGUACCAAAAUAGUUUCACUUCAUGGCUACUCUCAGAUAUGUUCAUGCUGCUACCCUAAUCAUAUAAGGGUAACACUAUAUUUGUUAGCAAACAAUUUUUGAGAUAUUAAAUUCGGUGAUAAUAGAAG